rnacentral:tRNA from 1 species
UUUUAUAUAGUAUAAACAUAUUACUUUUUAUUUCCAAUAAAAAAAUUUAAUUCCAAUUAAUAUAAAAA